rnacentral:tRNA from 1 species
GGGGAUUUGGCUCAGUGGUAGAGCGCUUGCCUAGCAAGCACAAGGCCCUGGGUUCGAUCCCCAGCACCG